rnacentral:rRNA from 1 species
GACUAACGCUGGCGGCGCGCCUAACACAUGCAAGUCGCACGAGAAACUCCGUAGCAAUACGGGGCGGUAAAGUGGCGAACGGGUGAGUAAUGCAUGGGUGACCUGUCCUCAAGAUGGGAAUAACCUCGCGAAAGCGGGGCUAAUACCCAAUGCCAUCUCGGUCCUACGGAUCGGAUGAAAGAUAGCUGUCACAGGCUGUCACUUGAGGAGGGGCUCAUGCCCAUCAGCUAGUU